AGUAAUCCGGAAGUGACGCAAGCUGUACCUCAUUGGUCCAGAACAAAUAUUGGCCCUGUGCCCAAAUGAUGCAAUAAAUCAUAAAAUAGACCCAUGGACAGUCAUAAGACGAAUAAAAUACACCUAUUAUGACUAUUUGUUCUUGUGAGAAAAAAUUAGUGGCUUUGUAUUUUUAUUGCAUUUGUACCGUAGACUUACAUGGAAACCGGAUAUGAAAACACCUAUACUGGAGCCAUCCGUAGUGGCGCUAGUGAGCAACCAGGAACUACAACACCAGGAAAUGAGCUUCAAAAACGAAGUCUGGUUUUGGCCGCUUGGUUCAUAGACAUAUGUCUAUGGAUGAGUUGCUCAAUUUUACAAGGCUGAGGGAGGGGCCGGAGCUUCCCAUUGUAUCCUCUUAGCGGUCUCGUGCAACUACACAUUAUUUAGAAAUAACCAAUAAUAAUCAUAAAAGACAUAUAUUUGACAUGUAGCCACAUAUCAUCUCCUUUUGUUUCUAUAGUUAUGUCAGACACUUAUAAAUAUUUGUUAUUUGUUGCAGCGGAUGUUGAGAGCCAGUCAGCAGCUCAGCCGGAGAGUGCAGAGCAGCUAGCUUCAGAAGCAACAUCACCAGAUAGUCCUUGACCUGGAAUCCCCAGGGAAAAGGGAACAGAGGUACAUCAAGGAACAACUGGAUAAGUUCAACAGAAACAGAAAUACUGGGGAUACACCUGGACAAAGCUAGACAAGAUGGCCCAGAAAAGGGUCAGGUGGUGGUCGUACAAGGAUGACCUAGAAUCUCCACAGGAGAUAACCGGGGUUAAAACUUUGUCUGGAAGCUGGAUGUAGCCGUAGUUCACUCACCAGAGGUCAUCUUGGGGCAGCAGUGCUGGAGAGUCAGUGUCUUCUCUCUAAAGCCACUCUUCUCUCUGUGGGAUGCCUCAGGGACUGGAUAUCCGCCUGCCCGAUUCAAUAAUUGGCCUCUCUUGGAGCUGUCGAGGCUUGAGUUGGGAGCAGGGGUGCUGAAUUUUCCCCUAGUCCCACUGAUGUUGGCCAUGGUGCUGAACUCCUCUGCUGUGGAACCAGGACAGCAGGUGUAUGUGGACUAGGAUGGAGAUUUUUAUCCCUGCACACAGUUCCCCCCUUCACCUUUCCGUCCAGCGGGUCAAUAGCGAAUUCGGGAGGGUGCAUGAGUAUUACCAUGUUGGGCCCCUGGACAAUGCACCACCUGAAAGCCUGCAGUGAGAGGAACUUGCGAGUUACCCUGGUGUUGUCCUUUUUCCAUCCACUGCUAAGGAUCAUGGUCCAGCACCAGGGUACACCUCAAUACCAGCAGGUAGUACUGGAGGGAGGGGAGAGCCCACUUAAUGGCUAGGGCCUCUCUCACCACUGCUGUAUACCACAACUUGCUGGGGCAAAGUUUGGAAGAUGAUGUGGUAUUCUUCCAAAGCAAACUCCUCAGAAGGGACCAUCCCCAACCUAGUUUUAAGAAUCACUAUUUAGGGGUCACUUUCAGUUACCCUUUUAGUGGGCCAGCACUCUGAAUACUGAACCCAGAAUAUCAACCUUAACAGUUCUUUAGACGGAAUUUUUAAGGUCUGCUGAUACAUAGUGCAAGCACAGCAGAAGUGCUGAACAUCACAAUGGAGCCCAGGCCAGUGGAAUUAGUCGACCACAUGUUCCAGUGUCUUCUGUCCCAAGUGAGGGUGCAGGAUAUGAGAAUAGUCACAUUUUUAGCUCAGUAGUCUGUUGUACUAAUAUUAUACUCAACAGGCUACAGUAAAAGAUUGCAGUAUUAUUAUAUAUAAAAACAGAAAUACCACACAGCAAAAUCUUUCCAAAAUCCUGUAUGCAUUUCAGCAAACGCAGUUGGGUACGUAAAGUGUUCUUCAUGCAGAACACAAUAGAAAAAUAGGCUGGGCUGCAUCCUGUCUUCAGGUUCUGCCUAGCCACAGGACCUGGUUAACAUCACAGGCAAUGUUCUCCCUGGUCAAGCAGCAGGGGAGGCAUCGCCUGGCAUGAUGGAUCCAGCCCUGGUAUGUGUCUACAGCUAUAUCGCCACACGCCUUCUCCAUUAGUUGUAGAAGGGGCAAUCGCAUUUGGGGAAUGCGGUCAAAGACCUUCCACCGCCAUGCCGAAAAACUUUUUAAUGGGACUGAGAAAUUGAGAAUGGGGGGGAGGGG